rnacentral:rRNA from 1 species
ACCGGGAUGGACGAACCGAUGGUGUUCCAGUUGUCACGCCAGUGGCAUCGCUGGGUAGCUAAGUUCGGAAGGGAUAACCGCUGAAAGCAUCUAAGUGGGAAGCCCACCUCAAGAUAAGAUAUCCCUCUUGGUGGAGACAUCAAGACUAAAGACCCCUUGUAGACGACGAGGUUGAUAGGUCAGGUGUGUAAGCGUAGUAAUGCGUUCAGCUAACUGAUACUAAUCGGUCGUGAGGCUUGACCAU